AUUGAACGCUGGCGGCAGGCCUAACACAUGCAAGUCGAGCGGAUGAAGGGAGCUUGCUCCUGGAGUCAGCGGCGGACGGGGGAGUAAUGCCUAGGAAUCUGCUAGGCUGCGGGGUAUAACGUCCGGAAACGGGCGCUAAUACCCCAUACGUCCUGAGGCAGAGAGUGGGGGAUGUUCGGACUGCACGCGAUCAGAUUAGCCUCGGGCGGCUUCUCGCGUCGGUGGGGUUAGGGCGUCCUAAGGCGGCGUUCCGUAACGGGUCUGGGAGGAUGAUCGGUCACCCUGGAGCUGCGACACGGUCCCGACUCCUACGGCAGGCAGCAGUGGGGAAUAUUGGAGAAUGGGCGGAGGCCUGAUCCAGCCGUGCCGCGUGUGUGAAGAAGGUCUUCGGCUUGUAGAGCACUUUAAGUUGGGGGGAAGGGCAGUAAGUUAAUACCUUGCUGUUUUGACGUUACCAGCAGAAUAAGCACCGGCUAACUUCGUG
rnacentral:rRNA from 1 species